rnacentral:rRNA from 1 species
UACGUAGGGGGCAAGCGUUGUCCGGAAUUAUUGGGCGUAAAGAGCGUGUAGGCGGUCCGGUAAGUCCGCUGUGAAAGUCCAGGGCUCAACCCUGGAAUGCCGGUGGAUACUGCCGGGCUAAGAGUCCGGGAAGAGGCGAGUGGAAUUCCUGGUGUAGCGGUGAAAAUGCGCAGAUAUCAGGAGGAACACCGAUGGCGAAGGCAGCUCGCUGGGACGGUACUGACGCUGAGACGCGAAAGCGUAGGGAGCAAACAGG